CUUCCUCCUUCCUGGUCCCCAAAUCAGGCCCCUCCUGCCCACCCGCUGGGCUCGGUGGGAGGUAAGAGGUGGGAUGGGGGCGGCGCUAAUGGGCAUCGGACUAGACUUUUUUGUUUAAGAACCGCUUGAAAGGGUUCUGAAAACACCGUGUAUCCUUUGUAUAUUUUUAGUUGAUAUCUAAACGUGUAGUAAUUUCUGGCAUACAGUCGAAUAUUUAGGUGGACUUUUUUGUCAAAACCGUAGAACUUUCUCAUCAGCUCAUUAAAUUUAUACAAAAGGUCCUCCCCACCCCCCAUUAUAUAAUUGCUAAAGCUAGUCCUUACCGUCCAGACGAGACUUGUUUUCUGCCUGAAAAAAGUCCUUCGCUUUUUCAGUCAAAAUGAACCCGUUAAUUUAUGAUGUCGCGAUAAAUUCCCCUAGUGAGAUUCCUCACUAGGCGAAUUGGAAUCCUGGUCUUAGAGCGACCGGGGAUGACAGAUGACAGACGGAGGGAAGGAAGUGGGGAGAGAUGGAGACACAAGGUGUGGCGAGACGGAGGGAUAACGCAGGACCGUAUGCCACUUCUGUCGCCUGUCCCACAUUCCUUACUCUACGUGGGUUUGCGGUCGGGACUGUCCCUCGGGAACCGAGAGGCGGAUCCAGGAAGGAUGGGAGUGGGAGAGGGCGGAUGCUGGCGAGGACUCAGGCAGCCCGGGAUAGGAGGACCUCUAGGAACG
rnacentral:lncRNA from 1 species